GCGUCGGUGGCCGGGGGCGGCACCGUCUUCACCGCGGGGAUUGUGCUGGCGGUGAUGAUCCUGCCGAUCAUCACAGCAGUGACCCGC
rnacentral:tRNA from 1 species